UACAGAGGUCCCGAGCGUUGUUCGGAUUCACUGGGCGUAAAGGGUGCGUAGGUGGCAUGGUAAGUUUGAUGUGAAAGCUCAGGGCUCAACCCUGAAAUGGCAUUGAAUACUACUGUGCUGGAGGUUUGGAGGGGGGACUGGAAUUCUUGGUGUAGCAGUGAAAUGCGUAGAUAUCAAGAGGAACACCAGUGGCGAAGGCGAGUCCCUGGACAACACCUGACACUGAGGCACGAAAGCCAGGGGAGCAAACAGG
rnacentral:rRNA from 1 species